UGCGCAGGCGGGUUGGCAAGUCAGAGGUGAAAUCUCACGGCUCAACCGUGAAACUGCCUUUGAUACUGCUAAUCUUGAGUUCGGGAGAGGUUGAUGGAAUUCCAGGUGUAGCAGUGAAAUGCGUAGAUAUCUGGAAGAACACCAGUGGCGAAGGCGGUCAACUGGCCCGUAACUGACGCUCAUGCACGAAAGCGUGGGUAGCGAACA
rnacentral:rRNA from 1 species